rnacentral:rRNA from 1 species
UUGUGUAUCAGUACAUGGCAUAUCAAUAAGCGGAGGAAAAGAAACUAACUAAGGAUUCCCUCAGUAACGGCGAGUGAAGCGGGAAGAGCUCAAAUUUGAAAUCUUCAAGGUUUUACCUUGACGAAUUGUAGUUUAAAGAAGUGUUUUCUGUUAGUGGAGUUGGUAAAAGUUCUUUGGAAUAGGACAUCAUAGAGGGUGAGAAUCCCGUAUUUGACCAUUAUUUCCAGCUUUGUGAUACACUUUCAAAGAGUCGGAUUGUUUGGGGAUGCAGUCCAAAAUGGGUGGUAAAUUUCAUCUAAAGCUAAAUAUUGGCGAGAGACCGAUAGCGAACAAGUACCGUGAGGGAAAGAUGAAAAGAACUUUGAAAAGAGAGUUAAACAGUACGUGAAAUUGUCAAAAGGGAAGCGUUUGACACCAGUGUUGUUUUCUCGAAAAUCAAUUAAAAAAGGCCGGAUUUUGUGUUGUAUUGACCUUAAAAGCUUUCUUCACUCUUUUCUUGUCUUUUUUAAUGCACUUUUCGUUUAACAAGUCAACAUCAGUUUCUUUUGUUGUAAAAGGGUCAUUGGAAGGUGGCAUUCUUUUCGGAGAAAGUGUUUAUAGCCUUUGAUCUCUGCAACCGGAGAGACUGAGGUCUGCAGCGUAGACUCUUCGGGGUUAAAUACAUUUGUGCUAAGUUAUAGCCUUUUCAUAGACAACUUGUUGACUAUAUUUAGUCUUGUAGGCUUACUCGCUUAUGCUAUUUUACCUACGCUUAGGAUGUUGACAGCAGUAUAGACUGU